UACGAAGGGUGCAAGCGUUACUCGGAAUUACUGGGCGUAAAGCGUGCGUAGGUGGUUCGUUAAGUCUGUCGUGAAAGCCCGGGGCUCAACCUGGGAAUGGCGAUGGAUACUGGCGGGCUAGAGUGCGGUAGAGGAGAGUGGAAUUCCCGGUGUAGCAGUGAAAUGCGUAGAUAUCGAGAGGAACACCAGUGGCGAAGGCGAGUCUCUGGACGACUCCUGACACUGAGGCACGAAAGCCAGGGGAGCAAACAGG
rnacentral:rRNA from 1 species